GCUGUGUUGAUCAGAACCCUCUCCUUCCUAAGGGUUUCCCGGAUCAUGACUGCAAACUGUAGAGGCUUCUGAAACAUGUUCUGUUUUGACUAAUGUGCAUCAGCUUCAUCUUGUCCACCACAUUACUAUUCUGAUGAGCCAGAGCUUGCAGCAUGGUGAUGAUCUGGUC